GUUAUUUUUCAGUGGUAGAACUCCCUCCACCUGAGCAUGAACUACUCCAGGGUGAACUUUCUUCAAGGUCUUGGGCAACUCAUCCCAGAUCAGAGCCUGCAGUGAACAGCAGUUCAGCAGCUUGAAGCUGUCGGUUCAUCAUCCUACAGGUCAAAUUCUGAAUGAAGGUUUUCCCAUGGCAGCAAGAGGAAGAAGCACCAGGAAGCUGCUCCGCUUCCUCCUACGUGUAGCUGGAGGUGGAUGGCAGCUGGGCAGAGCUUUGGCUUGGGAUCAGAGGGAGCAGCAGAGCCAGCCUGGGAGAGGAGGAUGGCACCAGCUGGUUCUUUGCUCYCCAUUCCUGGAGAAGAGCUCGUGAUUUGAACCAUGGACAAUGAUACGGAUGUGAUAAUAACGUCACUGUUUGUGCCUUGUGCCUUGCACUUGAGGACGUGCAAUUGUCCCCAAGGGAGUUUUGCACACCAGAUCCAAAAUCACCACUUUGUGUGCAGAGAGCAGGGAGAAGGUAUUUUUACUCCUGCAGCUGUCUUGCAAUGAGCAUUGAAUUUUGAUAGCGCUUCCCCAUAGCCACCAGGCACAGCAAAAUGCAGACUUGCCCUUGGUCGCCCUGGAGAAUUUGGUGAGAAUGGCCAAGAGGGCUUUAACCCUACAAAUGGAAAGCAGGACAUAAGGUCUGGUUCCCAUCGAUGAUGACUGAAACUCUAUCUUUCUACUAUAUAUGUGUUGAGUUGACCAUCAUAGUUUUGCCACUAUUAAAGGGCAAGCCGAAAAGUAUUUAACCUACGGGGUGUCCCUUCCCAAACAAUUCCACCUAGAGAAACGGAGAGCAAGAAGAGAGAACAAUAUCCUCCUUUACUAGCUAACAGAUGUGGAGCUAUCUACAAAUAACAGGGUGGCCAACAAUAACCUGACACAAAUCAUGAACUGUUGGAAAGAAAAAUAUCUUUGCACUGGGCUUUGAAUAACUGCUGUGGCUUGGAGACAAGUACAGAUUUUCCCCAGCUAUGCUGGCUGGUGUUUUGCUGUUGAUGCAUCCCAUUGGAUGGUCCCAGAUAGCUACUCUGCAUCCCACUGUACCACCCAAAAGCUUCCCACAUAUCCAUGCUCCAUGCCAAGAGCAGUAAACAAAAACCAUGUUUAUUUAUAAUUAUUUCUGAAUAAGCUCAAGUGUAUUUGUGCUCAUUUGCUUCAGGAUGCUGCUAACUCUCGCUGGUGCUCUUAGGACAGGAUUGAUGCUCUUGGCAUAUUCAUAAUCAUGGGACGUGUUGAAGCAGGAGAUCCCGUCGCAGCUCGGUGUAACCACAACACCA